AUUGAACGCUGGCGGCAGGCCUAACACAUGCAAGUCGAGCGGAUGAAGGGAGCUUGCUCCUGGAUUCAGCGGCGGACGGGUGAGUAAUGCCUAGGAAUCUGCCUGGUAGUGGGGGAUAACGUCCGGAAACGGGCGCUAAUACCGCAUACGUCCUGAGGGAGAAAGUGGGGGAUCUUCGGACCUCACGCUAUCAGAUGAGCCUAGGUCGGAUUAGCUAGUUGGUGGGGUAAAGGCCUACCAAGGCGACGAUCCGUAACUGGUCUGAGAGGAUGAUCAGUCACACUGGAACUGAGACACGGUCCAGACUCCUACGGGAGGCAGCAGUGGGGAAUAUUGGACAAUGGGCGAAAGCCUGAUCCAGCCAUGCCGCGUGUGUGAAGAAGGUCUUCGGAUUGUAAAGCACUUUAAGUUGGGAGGAAGGGCAGUAAGUUAAGACCUUGCUGUUUUGACGUUACCAACAGAAUAAGCACCGGCGAACUUCGU
rnacentral:rRNA from 1 species